CAGCAGGCGGACUCUCAACCACUGCGCCACCAGGGAAGCCCAUGACAGUCAUGAAGAUGCAUGCUACAGAAGCAAAGGUUAUGCAAACUGCUUCUGCACAUGAAGGAAAAUGCAGAGAAAAUGGCAAAACUUCCAAGCUGGUGCCUGGUGAUAUUGCUGGUAAACAUCUUUGGAAUCUUCCUGUUAUUUCCUGUGAAUAACAUUCCAAUCGAGAUAACUCAAAAGUCUUUGGGUUUGCAACUACCUCC